CAGUGAGACAAAUUUUGUCUUUUCUGGCUACCUGAUUUCCUGGAUUACUUUGUUGGAAUGGAUCCUAAGAACACAGUUCAUUGCCAUGAUUCAGAGUGUUACCGUGAGAAAAUAUCUUGAACUUCUACUCUGUACUUCACCAUACAAGAAUUGAGCCUGGUGUUUUCUUUAAAUUAUUUUAUGAUUACUUAAAGCCAUUCUUUAUAAAUUUUGCACCUCUGCUGGUCAGGUGGCCUAACUUUGGAAGACUCAGACCUUCAUCUGUGACAGUUCUAUAGUCACAGUCGCUAUGCCUUCUCAGGUCCUGGCUGCUGUAUUAUUACAUUGAUUCUCAAAGUUGUACAAGAGAAUAUCAAAAGACACCAAAGUGGAUUAAGAUUAGUUACUGUUAAAAAUAUUCCUCCUGCUUUACGUUCUACAAGAGCUCUACCUUUUUCCGAAGUUCAGAUCAAUUAUCCCUAUCAGGAUAGUGACUUCUCUUCAAGUCACUUGGGAAAAGUCCCCUGAAGUACACUGGAAGAAGCCAUAACUUAAGUUCAUUGAAAUUUUUGCAGUGUCCCAGAGUCGAUGUAUUCUACCUUUGUCGACCAGAACUUCUCCAUCAUACAGUCCAAACUUGUGGGUCUGGAAAGCACAAACUCUGUAAAUGAGAAACUGGUGAUGAUGUUAAGUAAGUUAUUUAUAUUUUAAGUCCCUGAUUUUAGACUCAUGUAUUUUACCUACUCGGAAAAAAUCAUAUUAUGGUUGUUGAUUUAGAAUACACAUCCUAAAAAGUGACAUCCCAUCUUUGUAUGGUCUCAUGUCUGAGCUAGGCAUCCCACUGAAAUCUUUAACUUAACAUGCCAUUGUUCCACUACGCACCACCCAGCAGCUAAUUGGUCUCCACGCAGAAUGGUGCUAUUAGGGGGACUCAGUGAUUGUCUUGUAUGUAUGGACAUCAUGCAGUAACAGGAGAUAAAUUUGUGUUGGAGACAGGGAACCCAUGCUACUGAAUUUAUGCAUAGUCUUCCUUACAUCACCAUGGUUACCAUGUCUACAUGCACCUCAUGCUCACACUUGGGUUGCGUGAUGGUUAAUAUUGAGUGUCAACUUGAUUGGAUUGAAGGAUGCAAAGCAUCGUUCCUAGGUGUGUCUGUGAGGGUAUUGCCAAAGGAGAUUAACAUUUGAGUCCGUGGACUGAGAAAGCCAGAUCCACAAUCAAUCCGGGUGGGGACAAUCUAAUCAGCUGCCAGCAUGGCCAGAAUAAAAGCAGACAGAAACACGUGGAAAGACCAGACUGGCUAAGCCUUCUGGCCUCCAUCUUUCUUCCAUGCUGGAUGCUUUCUGCCCUUGAACAUCAGACUCCAAGUUCUUCAGCUUUUGGAUUCUUGGACUCACACCAGUGAUUUGCCAGGGGCUCUUGGGCCUUCCACCACAGACUGAAGGCUGCACUAUCAGCUUCCCUACUUUUGAGGUUUUGGGACUCGGACUGGCUUCCUGGCUCCUCAGCUUGAAGACAACCAAUGGUGGGACUUCACCUUGUGAUCCUGUGAGUCAUUUCUCCUAAUAAAUUCCCCUUCAUAUAGACACUAUCCUAUUAGUUCUGUCCAUCUAGAGAACCCCGACAAACAUGGGUUGCUAUCAACUGGACAAAUCAUUGCCAACUAAGUUUUUUAGUGCUUCAGCACUUCUACCAUAGUUAGUGUGCACUAAUGAAUGCAAACAUUUGUAUUACCUAAUACAUGGUCUGGUACAGCAUCCUCAGAUGUGAACUAUGCUGCCUCCUGUAUCCAAAAAGGACUACCAAAUGUUGUACUUCCAUCUUAUUGCAGUGCAGUAAGAAAUAUUUUGUCCUUUAUUUUGUAGAUGUCCCAUCAUGCCCUCAACCACAAAACACCUAAAUUUUACGGUUAUAAUCGCUGUCAGUGGUUGUACGUUGAUAUUCUAUUGUUCCAGCACCAUUCUUUUCCUAUUAAAUUACACUGGCAAAUUUGAUUAAAAAAAACAACUGACUAUAUAUGCUUGUAAACAUUUCCAGAUUAUGUUAUUCUUUUAAUCUAAAUAUGUGUCCUUAUGCCAAUACCCCACUCCAUCUAUUACUGCAGUGUAUGAUAAGUCUUGAAAUCUAGUAGUGUAAGUUCUUCAACGUUGCCCUUAAUUUUUAAAAUCACUCUUGCUAUUUAAAAUUGUUUGUAUUACAUGGAAAUUUUAUAAUCAGCUUGCCAAUUUCUACAAAAGUCCUGCUGAGAUUUUAAUUGGUAUUUUGCUUGUUCUGCAGCUUAAUGCAAGAAAAUUAUCUUAACAAUAUUGAAUUUUUCAAUCUAUUAACAUGUUAUAUAUUACUGUUUACUUAGGAUUUUUUCACUUUUCCUGCCUUGUUUUGAACUGAUAUUGUGGUUUUAAGUAAUUUUUUUUAUUUCUACUAUUGGCUUAGUAACUAUGCCCCACUUUUUGAUUUUGUAGCACAGUUGACCAUUGAACAACACAAGUUUGAAUUGUGCAUGUCCAAUUGUCUAUGGAUAUUUUUCAAUAAAAGUUACACUGAGUGCAUC
rnacentral:lncRNA from 10 species